UUGCAAAACCAUUAAAUACACCACUGUCACAUCGGUUGACAUAUUCUCAUCCUGCCGCUGUGAAUACUUGCAUCGCCAAAAUGCAUCAGUCCACAGCCGAAAAUAGUCCCAAACAAAUGCAUUAUUUAGUCCUGCUAAAAACUACAAUGCCCAGCAUAUUCACGGAGAACAAAUGGCUUCAGACUAAUGCAUUUCCAGCCUUUUUGUUUGUUUUUUUAGGGGGAGGGGGAUGAAUUCUGCGCACCUACUGAUGUGCGCUUUAAUUAGUUCCCCGGAGAACAAAUUAAAUUGCUAAUCAAACAGCAGCCCCGGUUAGAUUAGUAAGCAGCUGUGUAAUUCAGCUCCUCCACAGUGGAAUGAUUUGUUGGGAUCUUGUGUGCCAUGUUAAUCGCUUAACGGCUGGCUGACAUAUAUAAAUGGCUUUCCACUUGGGGGCAACAAACACUCACCUGCACGGGUUGGUUGGUUCAAGGACAAAACUGCUAUCUAAAGGACAAAAAACUAAGACGCUGCUGUCACCGAGGAAGCAUUGGGGAUCUGUGCCUGGGCAUGACAUGCAGCAAUCAUGUCAACCAGUCAAACAAACUGGACUUCGCACUCAAUCAGUCACUUUUGGGUACCGUACAGGUGGCCUAGUCCAUAACAGCACUGGCCGGGUGCGAUAUGGGUACAGAAGCUCUGGGGAAGUCUGGCACCAGGACAUUGGCAGUGGAUCCUUCGGGUCCUGUGGGAUACAAGUGAAGCCUCGAUGGAUUAAUCUUUUACCGGCACAUCCCACGGAUACUUGAUUGGACUGGGAAGUUGGCGAUGUGUUCAUGAGAGUGCGUCUACUGUGGGAACCCACAGCAACAACCUUUUGGUGGGUGGUCAGAAACAGAAAUGCCAUAAGCCAGUGUGUCCCGGCAUAACAUUGUGUUGCAACCAGAUGAUCAGUAUUAUUCAAUGUCGUGGCCUAUGUAUUAUUUUACAGUGGCUUGCUAUUUCCUCACGCUUCAAACGUGCCUAAUAUGCUAACCUAACUACCUUCUCACUGUAACCUUUCUGUGUAUUUUCAGUAUGAAACCCUUAUCAAUAUUCUUAAUAAAUCAA